rnacentral:rRNA from 1 species
GACCUGAUGCAGCCAUGCGCGUGUAUGAAGAAGGACUCCGGUUGUAAGUAACUUCUAGCAGUGAGGAAGGUGGAGUAUGUUAAUAGCAUAUUCAUUUGACGUUAGCUGCAGAAGAAGCACCGGCUAACUCCGUGCCAGCAGCCGCGGUAAUACGGAGGGUGCGAGCGUUAAUCGGAAUUACUGGGCGUAAAGCGCAUGCAGGUGGUUUGUUAAGUCAGAUGUGAAAGCCCGGGGCUCAACCUCGGAAUUGCAUUUGAAACUGGCAAACUAGAGUACUGUAGAGGGGGUAGAAUUUCAGGUGUAGCGGUGAAAUGCGUAGAGAUCUGAAGGAAUACCGGUGGCGAAGGCGGCCCCCUGGACAGAUACUGACACUCAGAUGCGAAAGCGUGGGGAGCAAACAGGAUUAGAUACCCUGGUAG